rnacentral:rRNA from 1 species
AAUGGCAUUAGUACCCCAGUAGUCCUAGCCGUAAACGAUGGGUACUAGGUGUUGACCGAACCACUCGGUCGGUGCCGUAGCUAACGCGUUAAGUACCCCGCCUGGGGAGUACGGUCGCAAGAUUGAAACUCAAAGGAAUUGACGGGGGCCCGCACAAGCGGUGGAGUAUGUGGUUUAAUUCGAUGCAACGCGAAGAACCUUACCAGGGCUUGACAUCCUGCGAAUCCUGCCGAAAGGUGGGAGUGCCGUAAGGAGCGCAGAGACAGGUGGUGCAUGGCUGUCGUCAGCUCGUGUCGUGAGAUGUUGGGUUAAGUCCCGCAACGAGCGCAACCCUCGUUCUCAGUUGCCAGCAUUCAGUUGGGCACUCUGGGGAGACCGCCGGUGACAAACCGGAGGAAGGUGGGGAUGACGUCAAGUCAUCAUGCCCCUUACGUCCUGGGCUACACACGUACUACAAUGGCUGGGACAAAGAGUUGCCAACUCGCGAGAGUGAGCUAAUCUCGUAAACCCAGUCUCAGUUCAGAUUGCAGGCUGCAACUCGCCUGCAUGAAGGCGGAAUCGCUAGUAAUCGCAGGUCAGCAUACUGC